AGAGUUCUAAAUUCGCUUGGCGUUUGUAACUAAGGAAGUGAGGUCACUUCAAGAUUCCAUCACCUGGGCUCCUUCCUUUAACAAGACCGACCCACAGGCCCUGCUGGGCUCCUGACUGCUCACCCUCCUUUCCCAUGUAAACUCCUCCCUUGUCCACAAUCAUGAGAACACAGCCCCUAGCCCCUUUCUCAGCUUCCUGAGAAGAGCUGGAUAUGGUCUAGGACCCAGGCUUGAAACAGAUAUAGGUCAGAACAUCUUGUCUUACUAUUUCUGUGACCUUAGACAAGUCAGUGUGUGUUUCAGGACCUUCUCUGUCACCCAACAUGCACAAUGGCAACAAUGCUAGAAUCUUCUUCCUAGGAAACUCAUCAGGUGUAUAUGAGAAUCAGACCCAUGUGCCUCACCUUGAUACAUAAAGUGAGCAGCUGCAUAACCUCUUCCAGCAUGAAGAGGUUAGUGACUCACUUCUGACCAACAGAAUAAAACAAAUAUGGUAGGGUAACACCUCAAACUUCAGGUUGCCAUAGCAAAGAACCAUAGAUAGUAUGGCUGAUAAGCAGUGAAAUUUUAUUUCUUACAGUUGCAGAGUCUGGAAGUUGAAUAUCAGGAUGCCAGUAUGGUCGGCCUUUGGUGAGAACUCUUCCGAAUUGCCGACUGCAAACUUCAGGUUGUAUCCUCACCUGGUGGAGAACAAGAGAAAUCUCGCUGAGAUUUCUUUUAUAAAGCCAGUAAACCUAUUCAUGAGGACUUCAUCCUCAGGACCUAAUUAUCUUCUACCUCCUAAUAUCAUUACAUUAAGGGUUACAACUUCGAGAUAUAAAUUUGGGAGAAACUAGACCAUCAGUCUAUCAUGACUCCCAGGAUUAUAUACGAAAACAGUGUAAUUUCCCUUCUACUCAGUCAUGUGUUUGCUCCCUCAAUCUCUGUUCCUGUCUCUGUCUCUCUCUGGGUCUCUCUGUUGUAUUCUUCACAUUGCAGAAGCAAGCUCCAAUGUUGAUGUUAUGAGUUGCUCUGUGUAUGGGUCCACAUGGCAGAGAACUGAAGGAGUGACAAGGCCAAUAGACCAAGAAAAACUCAGGCUCUCAGUCUACACUGAAUUCUGCCAACAGCCACAAUAGCUUGAAAACAAAUUAUCCCUCACUUCAGCUUCAACCUCAUGAAAGAACCUGAGUCAGAGACACCCAACCAAGCUACGCCCCUAUUCUGGUUCCAACACAUUGUGAGAUAUUAAUUACUGGUUGUUUAAAGGUGCUAUGUUUUGGGGCACUGUUUUCAGAGAAGACCAGAUUACUACCCUCAUCUUUCAACCCCCAGGAUCCUUCCUCCCUCUGUUUCUCUUUCCCCAAGGCUCCCUCCAGUGAAACUGGCCUUUUGCUAUACAAAAUGCUUAAUUUUGGUAUAUGGAAGAAAACAGUCAGUUGUUUAGCCCAGAUAGUUGAGACAAAUGUCCAAAGAUACAGAAAAAUUAAAUCCAUUUUAUUUGUUUACCUUUAUUCAUGGUGAUCAUGAUUUCUUCCCGUCCAGGCCCAGUACUGAUUCCCUCAAAUGCCUCAUUGAAGAAAUACAAAAGUGAUAAUCCAGAAAAUCUAGUUUUUUCCAGCAUGUAAUCAUCAUGUUUAAAGUAAGGAGCAUGAAUCAGUGAGAAUGGGUUCUAUAUCUGCUUGAGGUGAGACAAGAAAAUGCUAAAAUUAUUAUAUUAUUUUAUCAAAUUUUUUGAACUAUCUGGUUUUGAUGUUUAGCUUGUCAUGUAUGCAGUAUAUUAAUAAGAUUAAAUAGACAUUCCGUUAAUAAAUGAUUGAACAUUUUUUUAGUUCCUGCCAAAACACUUUUUUUACUAAUACUCUUUACUAAUAAAGUUUUUCAUACUUUG